rnacentral:rRNA from 1 species
GACGAACGCUGGCGGCGUGCUUAACACAUGCAAGUCGAGCGGUAAGGCCCUUUCGGGGUACGACGAGCGGCGAACGGGUGAGUAACACGUGGGUGACCUGCCCUCAGCUCUGGGAGUAAGCCUGGGAAACCGGGUACUAAUACUGGAUAUGACUCCAUGACGCAUGUUGGUGGGGUGGAAAGCCUUGUGCGGCUGAGGAUGGGCCCGCGGCCUAUCAGCUUGUUGGUGGGGUGAGGCCUACCAAGGCGACGACGGGUAGCCGGCC